UUUUCAAAACUACCUGGAGGAGCUUGCUCUUUAAUCCGAUAACCCACGAAAAACCUCACCAACUCUAGCAAAACCAGCCUGUAUACCAUCGUCGUCAGCCUACCCCGCGAGAGCAAAAGUAAACACAAAGAAUAAAACUCCAUUUUUACUCUUUACGUCAGAUCGAGGUGCAGCCCAUGAGUUGGAAACAAGUGAGCUACAAUAACAAAAACAAUUUAAAAAAGAUAUGAAAUCAACUAUGAAAAAACAGAAAAAAAAGGAUUCAGUAGUAAUAUUAAAAGAAAAU
rnacentral:rRNA from 1 species